rnacentral:sRNA from 2 species
GAGUCAAACUGAUUGCACGUCUACUCCCAAACAUAUUGUGAGGCUCCUCCGGACCAAGGAGAGGCCUGUCGAAGAUCCAAUGUCCUCGAAAGAGAGCCAUCAUGCCCUAGGAAUGGGCCAUGGGAAAGAAAAUGAAGCCGAAACUCCGCCUAGCAACCAUGACGAAAAUUUUCGUACUACCAGCUCAACCAUCAUUGACAAUAAUGGUGCUUCUGGGGCUGAUGGAGACGGAAUGACGGAAUUGCAAGUAAAAAGCCUGGUGGGCCUUGCUCGCAGCAUGUCCCACGCCUCAGCCCAAAGCAGUCUAUGCGCACAGCACCCUAGCGGUGACAUCAACCCCUUCAUCGACUCUGAAUCCGACCCCGAAUUGAACCCUCACAAUGAAAAUUUUAAUUUGCGUAAAUGGAUGAAAUCCAUCCUCCGCAUUACUUCAAGAGACCCCGAGCGUUAUCCCCGUCGCACUGCCGGCGUUUCAUUCCGCAACCUGAACGUGCAUGGCUAUGGCACUGCUGCUGACUACCAAGCCGAUGUUGCAAAUGUUUGGCUGAAGGCGUAUGGAAUUGUAAAGCGCUUGGUCGGUUUUGAUGAAAAGGUCCGCAUCGACAUUUUGCGCAAUUUCGAAGGUUUAGUGAAGAGUGGAGAGAUGCUGGUCGUGUUGGGCCGUCCAGGGAGUGGGUGUUCAACCUUUCUUAAGACUCUAGCUGGUGAGACACAUGGGUUAUACCUGGGAGAGGGCACUUCAAUUGAGUAUCAAGGUAUCUCUUGGGACCAGAUGCAUAAUAACUUCCGUGGCGAAGCUAUCUACCAGGCAGAAACAGAAUCACAUUUCGCACACUUAACGGCUAGUGAUACCCUCUAUUUUGCUGCAAAAGCUCGUGCUCCAGCUAAUCGGUUCCCUGGUGUCAGUCGCAACCAAUAUGCGCUGCAUAUGCGAGAUGUUGUCAUGGCCAUGCUUAACCUCUCUCACACGGUAAACACCAAGGUCGGAAACGAAUACAUCCCUGGUGUGUCUGGUGGCGAAAGGAAGCGCAUUAGUAUCGCGGAAACCACUCUUAGUGGGAGUCCACUUCAAUGCUGGGACAACAGCACUCGGGGCCUUGAUAGUGCUACCGCUCGCACAGUUAUAGAGUCGCUACACCUAUCUACCAGAUAUUCCGGCACAACUGCAAUUGUAGCUAUAUAUCAAGCGAGCCAGGCUAUCUAUGAUAUAUUUGAUAAGGCAAUGGUGUUGUAUGAGGGGAGGCAGAUCUAUUUUGGGAAGACAACCCACGCUAAGAAAUAUUUUAUUGACAUGGGGUUUUAUUGCCCGGAGCGGCAGACAACGGGGGAUUUCCUCACAUCCAUGACUAACCCAGAGGAGCGAUUGGUACGUGAGGGAUUUGAGGCGGUUGUUCCACGUACACCCGACGAGUUCGCAGCAAGAUGGCAGCAGAGCCCCGAUCGCAAAGCGCUCCUCACGGAGAUAGAAGCGUACCAGAAGGAAUAUCCCUUGAAUGCACAGCCUCUUGAUCAGUUCAAUUCAUCUCUCAGUGCUCAGAAAUCAAAAUUUAACCGAGGCAAAUCCCCUUAUACGAUAUCCUACUGGAUGCAAAUAAGGCUUUGCAUAUGGAGAGGAGUUCAGCGGCUAAAGGGAGAUUUAUCCAUCACCUUGACAUCUAUCAUCGGCAAUAUUAUCAUGGCUUUAGUUGUGGCCUCUAUGUUCUAUAAUUUACCUAAUGACACCAGCAGUUUUUUCAGUCGUGGGGCGCUAAUCUUCUUCGCUAUCAUCCUGAAUGCGUUGGCAACCACUCUUGAGGUAUUGACUCUGUGGCAGCAACGACCAGUUGUGGAAAAGCAUCAUAAGUACGCGCUAUAUCGCCCAUCUGCUGAAGCGAUAAGCUCCAUCAUCAUUGACCUCCCAGCAAAAC